rnacentral:rRNA from 1 species
AACAAACGCUGGCGGCGUGCCUAACACAUGCAAGUCGUACGAGAAAGGGUCCUUCGGGGCCUGAGUAAAGUGGCGCACGGGUGAGUAACGCGUGGAUAAUCUGCCCUUCAGUUGGGAAUAACUCAUCGAAAGGUGGGCUAAUACCGAAUAAUGCUGUGAGACCUCGGUUGAUCAGCCAAAGAGAGCCUCUGCUUGCAAGCCCUCGCUGAAGGAUGAUUCCGCGUACCAUUAGCUAGUUGGUAGGGUAAUGGCCUACCAAGGCGACGAUGGUUAGCUGGUCUGAGAGGAUGAUCAGCCACACUGGAACUGAGACACGGUCCAGACUCCUACGGGAGGCAGCAGUGAGGAAUCUUGCGCAAUGGGGGCAACCCUGACGCAGCAACGCCGCGUGAGUGAGGAAGGUCUUCGGAUCGUAAAGCUCUGUCGGAUGGAAAGAACCGCAUAGGGGUAAACAGCCCCUGUGUCUGACGGUACCAACAAAGGAAGCACCGGCUAACUCCGUGCCAGCCGCCGCCGUAAGAC